GAACUCCUGACCUCAGGUGAUCCACCCACCUUGGCCUCCCAAAAAGUGCCGGCAUUACAGGCUUGAGCCACCAUGCCCAGACUGCUUUAGAAUUGCAUUUAUACUGUGUAUUUUUUUACCCUAAUGACAGUGUAAGAGACUUAAAUGAAUAUGACUGUCACACAAAAAAGGUGUGUCCUACUUCAACACUCAACAUUCAAGAAAUAUUUGUCAAAGACCUGCUGUAAGCCAGGUGGUUGCUGUAUAUGGAACUUUAUCUGAUUUGCUUUCUGUGGCCAGCAGUAAACUCGGCAUAAAAGCCACCAGUGUGUAUAAUGGGAAAGGUGGACUGAU
rnacentral:ncRNA from 2 species